UACAGAGGUCUCAAGCGUUGUUCGGAUUCAUUGGGCGUAAAGGGUGUGUAGGUGGCGCCGUAAGUCGGGUGUGAAAUCUCGGAGCUUAACUCCGAAAUUGCAUUCGAUACUGCCGUGCUUGAGGACUGGAGAGGAGACUGGAAUUCAUGGUGUAGCAGUGAAAUGCGUAGAGGUCAUGAGGAAGACCAGUGGCGAAGGCGGGUCUCUGGACAGUUCCUGACACUGAGGCACGAAGGCCAGGGGAGCAAACGGG
rnacentral:rRNA from 1 species